UUGAGAGCUUGCUCAGAUAUGACGAUGGACAUUGCAAAGAGUGGCGAACGGGUGAGUAACACGUGGGAAACCUACCUCUUAGCAGGGGAUAACAUUUGGAAACAGAUGCUAAUACCGUAUAACAAUAGCAACCGCAUGGUUGCUACUUAAAAGAUGGUUCUGCUAUCACUAAGAGAUGGUCCCGCGGUGCAUUAGUUAGUUGGUGAGGUAAUGGCUCACCAAGACGAUGAUGCAUAGCCGAGUUGAGAGACUGAUCGGCCACAAUGGGACUGAGACACGGCCCAUACUCCUACGGGAGGCAGCAGUAGGGAAUCUUCCACAAUGGGCGAAAGCCUGAUGGAGCAACGCCGCGUGUGUGAUGAAGGGUUUCGGCUCGUAAAACACUGUUGUAAGAGAAGAAUGACAUUGAGAGUAACUGUUCAAUGUGUGACGGUAUCUUACCAGAAAGGAACGGCUAAAUACGUGCCAGCAGCCGCGGUAAUACGUAUGUUCCAAGCGUUAUCCGGAUUUAUUGGGCGUAAAGCGAGCGCAGACGGUUAUUUAAGUCUGAAGUGAAAGCCCUCAGCUCAACUGAGGAAUUGCUUUGGAAACUGGAUGACUUGAGUGCAGUAGAGGAAAGUGGAACUCCAUGUGUAGCGGUGAAAUGCGUAGAUAUAUGGAAGAACACCAGUGGCGAAGGCGGCUUUCUGGACUGUAACUGACGUUGAGGCUCGAAAGUGUGGGUAGCAAACAGGAUUAGAUACCCUGGUAGUCCACACCGUAAACGAUGAGUGCUAGGUGUUUGAGGGUUUCCGCCCUUAAGUGCCGCAGCUAACGCAUUAAGCACUCCGCCUGGGGAGUACGACCGCAAGGUUGAAACUCAAAGGAAUUGACGGGGACCCGCACAAGCGGUGGAGCAUGUGGUUUAAUUCGA
rnacentral:rRNA from 1 species